CGCUGCGCGGCUCUCUUGUCUGGCGGACGGGGUACGGGGGCACCUCGGUGGGGAAUAAGGUGGGUAGGGGGGGUCACACCGCGACGUCACACGGAGCCGCAGCCAUGAAGAUGCAGCGGCGGCCGAGCCGGGGAGCUGAGCACGAGACCUGCUGAGAGCGCUGCACGGGAGCCGAAUGUUCGAACUUAGACUGACGACCAGGAGCCCAGCGUAGAGGGCUGAAUCGGAGCCUGUCAGUUCCCUCUGUGGUUGGAAAAGAUGGUUGGCCGGAGGGGUUGGCUGUUAUCUUUGGUUAUCUAGCUGUAUGAGUGAUGUACAUUCUUCAUAAAGCUAGAUAACCGAAAGUAACAAGAAUCCCAUUACACACCUGAAAGGCACUGCCCACUCAGCACUCCAUGCCUUGCCCCUUGCUCUCUUCAUCUUCAUACAGAAGACAAGUCACUAAAUGGCCUAUAGAAGGAAAAGAAGAAAAAAGAUUACCUCCCUCAGUCUGUCUCUGAAAGAUGCCAGGGAAAGGGAAGGAAAACGUGCAGGAUGCUCUAAGGAGGAGGGGUGUGUUGAUGUGAAAGCUGCCUGCUCACCCUCCAUGCGCCCCAACCAUGCGUCUGUGCUCUCCACCCCUCCUCUCGCUGCCUGCCCCUUCCUCCUAUCACGAGCGGCAGCCCAUGCCUCGCCACCAUCUUAGAGCACGCUGGCAUGAAAUGGAAGAGGGAGGAGAAAGGAGCAGGUGUUGGAGGAAUUAAACAGAGGAUUGAUCAAAUGAAUGAUAUGCAAACAUGGACGACAAAUCAGCAUCCGCUGAUGAAGCACUUCGGCUUGACACAGAUCUCUGCACCCUUUUACUCUGUGCCCCAACGUUUUAUCAUUGUAGCACUUUACAAGGGCAUUUUUCUGUUCAUCUGUUAAGUUAGUGUUUAUUUAACGUUUUAUUUUCCUUUCUUUUUUAUAUUUUUUAAUCUUUACAAUCAAACAUAAUAAUGGGGGUGGGCGUUAUGGUAAACAUAUUAUAACCCUGAUAUUUGAAGACAUUUUCACAAUACACAUGCAGACAGACUACACCAGUAGUGUAGCAGAUUCUUAAAAACAUGGUACAAAUGUUUGUACAGUUACAGCAUGUUUAUACUUACAGUAAAAAUUCUUUUUUUAUAUUUAAAAUGGGCUGCACUUUAGCCAGUUAAAGAGGGCUAAUUACACAUUAAAUUUCACAAUGAAAUGUGUAGUUGGUCAGUGUUCAUGAAGCCGUAAUGAUAUCAAUAAUACGAUUAGAAAAGUCUACUUUAUAUCUCAAUAAAAUAAUUGAUUAUAUCUUAAUAAAACA
rnacentral:lncRNA from 1 species